CACGGGAGGCAAUCCUGGUGGCGAGUGGCGAACGGGUGAGUAAUAUAUCGGAACGUGCCCAGUCGUGGGGGAUAACGUAGCGAAAGCUACGCUAAUACCGCAUACGAUCUAUGGAUGAAAGCGGGGGAUCGCAAGACCUCGCGCGAUUGGAGCGGCCGAUAUCAGAUUAGGUAGUUGGUGAGGUAAAGGCUCACCAAGCCGACGAUCUGUAGCUGGUCUGAGAGGACGACCAGCCACACUGGGACUGAGACACGGCCCAGACUCCUACAGGAGGCAGCAGUGGGGAAUUUUGGACAAUGGGCGCAAGCCUGAUCCAGCAAUGCCGCGUGCAGGAUGAAGGCCUUCGGGUUGUAAACUGCUUUUGUACGGAACGAAACGGUGAGCUCUAAUACAGUUUGCUAAUGACGGUACCGUAAGAAUAAGCACCGGCUAACUACGUG
rnacentral:rRNA from 1 species